rnacentral:lncRNA from 1 species
AUGGCUCAGGCAACCAAAGGUCCCGCAGUGAAGCCCAUCUCUCCCACCGGUGUAGAUGCCCCGGCUAGGGUGGCGCACCCAGACUCACUUACAGUCCGGAGCCAUGGAAUUUUACAAAUCAUGAAUCGCCCGGCACAAUGGGUGGUCAUCAUCACACUUCUGAUCUCUUGGUCAAUAGCGGGUGUUGUCAUGUUUGACUUUGUCAGUGACGAUCAGAUUGCAAGCAUCCAAGAUUUCGGCUCUGAUCCAGUGCUAGCAGUGAACAAAGCCACUGAAGUCAUUGAAAACAGGAUAAAUCACAUGAAUGAUAUGUUUAAUGAUGCUCAAGAGUACAUCACUGAAAUAAUAUUAAAUCCAGUGGAAGCUAUGAGUUCAGCUGCUGACUCAUCUGUGUCUUAUCUGUCAGGAUUAUUUAGUGCCGAUGUAGAUUUAGGAAUCACUGAAACAGUGAAAUAUGGGGGCACUGUAUUGGAUGAGGCUACAGAAUGGAUCAGAUCGCCAGUGAGCUAUGUAUUCCAUUUAUUUGAAGACAUACUGGAUAUAGUGGUUGCUCCAGUGGAUAUGGUCAGUGAAGCUCUUGUGCAAAUUUUAAGUGGGAUCAAGACUGUUAUACAGUAUAUUUCCACAAUGUUUGGAGGCAUUGAAGAUAUCCUGGAUGUAGCAAUCAUUUAUCCAGCAGACAUUGUCAGUGAAGCAGCUCAGCAAAUGUUAAGUGGGAUCAAGACCCUUUCUUCAUCCAUAUUCGGGAACCUUGAAGCUUGGUUUCCCAAAAUAAGCACUGAUCCUGCAGAGCUGACUGAAAUAGUUGUAGAGGAGGCCACAGAACUGAAGACCACCGUUUCUAAUUACCUAUCCAGUCUGUUUGCAGUGGAUGAAGGUUGUAUUCCUGACAUUAGCUUUGAUCCCAUGAAAGUUGUCACAGACACUGUUGAGGAGUUUGCUGACAGGAGGGAUAUGUUCUUGGCUUAUCUCUCAAACAUGCUCAUGGAAGACAAAGAUGACACACCGCAAGUGAUAAGACGAAAAGGAGAAUUUCUGCCCCCUAUGGAAAAAGUUGCAGAAAUACUAGGCAAAACACAGGAUCCUGCCUAUGCUGCCUACAUUGCUGCGAGAUCCACAGACAGUACUAAACAGGAAAUAAAAGAGGUAGAAGCUGCUGAAGAUACAACUGAAAGAGCUCAAGAUAUUGUGGACACUCCAAAGGAGGAAAGGAGAGUUGAAACGGCUUGGGACCGCUCUGAUGUCACAGUUGAAGACGAUGAGGUUACCUACGAUGUCACGGAGGAGGAUAAAACUGCUGGAACAGUUGAAGAUAUUGCAGAUGUCACACAGGAGGAACUUUCUGAUAAAGCAGAAGUGAAAGCUGAGGAAGAAGCAACUGAAAAGGUUGAGGAUAUCUCAGAUUUCGCAGAGGACACAUCAACUGAAAUGACUGAAUCUGAUGAAUCUGAUGCUUCAGAUAUGAAAGACACUGACGAUACCUCAGAUGUUGUUACAGAGGAAGAAGAAGUUACUGAAACAUCUGAUAUUCCAGAAGUAACAGAUGACGAAAUAGAAACAGAAAAAUGUGAAGAUAUCUCUGAUUUUAAAGAGGACAAAUCAGCUGAAAUGACCUCUGAUGUGACGGAAGACAUUGAUGCGGUUACAGAGGAGGAAAUAGUUAUUAAAACAGCUGAAGAUAUUCUAGAUGUUACAGAGGAGGACACAUAUGACAUUCCAGAAGUCAUAGAUGAGGAAUUAGCCACUGAAAAGGCUAAUGAUAUCUUUGACUCUGUAGAGGAUGAGUUAACUAUGAUGACCUCUGAUGUGACAGAAGACACUGAUUACACCUCGGAUGUUGUUACAGAGGGAGAAGUUGAUAAACCAGUUGAAGAUAUUGCAGAUGUUACAGAGGAUGAACCAUCUGAUAUGCCAGAAGUCAUUGGCAAUGAUGAUACCUCAGAUCAAGAUACCUCUGCCGUUAUAGAGGAGAAAGAGUCAACUGAAACAAUUAAAGAAGCAACAAUUGAAACAGCAGAAGGUACUUCCUAUGUUACAACCAAAACUGAAUUAGAUAAUACAGAUGAAAAUGAAUUUCAGAAAUAUCCCAGUGUUACAGAGGAGGAGGAAAAACCUGAAAAAGUUAAAGAUACUUCUGAUUUGAUAAGUAAGGAAGAAGAACCUGAGACAGAUGAAGAUGCCAGCACUGAAGAAACAGCCGAAGAGUCGAUAGAAAAAGAACAGCCACGUGAAUUGGCUGAAGCUACUGUGACCAUCUCUGUAAAAGACAAGACUGAAGUAACAGAACUUGAUGAUCUUGAAGUGCUGGGUAAGGAUGACAUGAAAGUGGAAGGCAAGGAGGAGAAGGAAGAUGUGGUGAAUGCUGAAAAGGUCACAAAGAACCUGGAGAACGAUCUAGAUGAAGAUGAGGUUGAGGUUUUAAAAGAGGAGACUAAAGAUCAAACUAUCUUUGGAACCACCGCUGGUCAAGAUGGCCAUGAUGAUGAAGAGGAGCUUGUCCUUUCUCCUGUCCAGCAGGACCUAACAAACAGAGAUGAUGAAAAUAACAAUAACAAUGACAGGAAGAAAGAUGCCAUAAAAAGAGGCCUGAGCGGGAGAAAACCAUCAAAGAGUCACUCCACUGAAACAGAUGACCAAGAAGCUCACAAGCAUCUUCAUGAAGUUCUUGAACAAGUGAAAGAAGCCAAAGAGAAAAAAGCUAGAGAGGAGAUAUACAAAAUCAUUCAAGAUCUGAGGGAGAAGAAGGCUGAUGGUGAAGAGGAGGAGAUGACACUACAGCAAAUAAACAUAACAGUAGAAAAAGUCAAGAAAAGAAAAGAACAUGAGAAAAACGAGAUAGAAAAGGCUAAAAGAAAACAAAAAUCCAAAGAGGACAAGACUGAAGAACCAACAAGACCUGAGAAAAAGGUUAAACCAACUAAGAAAGAUGUUGAGAUGGCCAAGGACAAAACAGCCCAUGUAAAGAAAGAAGCUGAAGUGGCCAAAAAAGAGACCAAAUCAGCACCAUCUAAGAAAGGUAUUGUUUUAAGAGAUCUUGCUUUACUUAGCACUUAUAAUAAAGCAAAUUCAUAA